CUUGCCACCGGCUGCAGUGGCAACAACGUCUCCAUGCCUACAUCCUCCGCCAGCGCAGCCACACGCACGAGGCGUGCAGCCAUGGGCGUCGGGCGUGUGCGGCUUCACCGGCGCUGCUCGGUCGCCAUGGCUCUGCUGCUAACGGUGUGGACUAGCCACAUCCUACUGCUACUGCUGGUAAAUAGAUCAAGGCGAAUAGAUGCUUAUGGACUGAUUCAAACCGAGGUGGAGAUAGAUAAGAAAUCAAGCAAGAAGGGCUAACACAACAAGGUACUUGAUUAGUACCUGGUGGCGCAUGCAAACCAAAGAUCUUCACCGCAGUGAAGGACAGCAGUGUGGUAGAAGGUGAAAAGGCAAGUGGUGGGGGUACUCCAACGUAUGUGUGUGUGAGGUAGAAUGGUCCAGUGAAAGGGAUGGCUCCUAUUUAUAGUGGGGUGAAUAGCUAUGUCGGUUUGAAGACACAUUACAUCUGGCAUGCAUGCGUGGUUAGUCUUGCAUGCAUACCUCCACUUGUGUCUCUUAUGGGCUGUACUAUGGACAGGUGUAAUUUGUUUGGCUGGCCCUUAGUUGGCAUUUACUUUAUGUGAAAGAAA